rnacentral:rRNA from 1 species
UACGUAGGGUGCAAGCGUUGUCCGGAAUUAUUGGGCGUAAAGAGCUCGUAGGCGGUCUGUCGCGUCGGCUGUGAAAACCCGGGGCUCAACCCCGGGCCUGCAGUCGAUACGGGCAGACUAGAGUGCGGUAGGGGAGACUGGAAUUCCUGGUGUAGCGGUGAAAUGCGCAGAUAUCAGGAGGAACACCGGUGGCGAAGGCAGCUUGCUGGGCCUUUUCUGACGCUGAGGCACGAAAGCGUGGGGAGCGAACAGG